rnacentral:rRNA from 1 species
AUUGAACGCUAGCGGGAUGCUAUACACAUGCAAGUCGACCGAGUGGCGGACGGGUGUGUAAUAUACCGGAACGUGCCCAGUACCGGGGGCUAACUCCUCGAAAGAGUGGCUACUACCCCAUACCAUUGGUGCGGCCGCUAUCGGAUUAGCUAGUUGUGGGGGUAAAGGCUCACCAAGGCAACGAUCCGUAGCUGGUUUGAGUGGACGACCAGACACACUGGGACUGGGACACGGCCCAGACUCCUACGGGAGGCAGCGGUGGGAAAUUUUGGACAAUGGGGGAAGCCCUGAUCCAGCCAUCCCGCGUGUAUGAGAAGGCCUUCGGGUUGUAAAGUACUUUUGGCAGGGAAGCGGUAUCUGCCGAAUAAGCACCGGCUAACUACGUGCCAGCAGCCGCGGUAAUUC